GCCGCCAGUCAGUCCUGUCUAGGUAUGAUUACAGAUUUACACCGUUGUUCCGUGUAGCCUCGUUACUGUUAGGACGGCAUAUCUGUAAUAAAUGUGUGUAUAUUCGA